rnacentral:rRNA from 1 species
CCUACGGGUGGCAGCAGUGAGGAAUAUUGGUCAAUGGACGAGAGUCUGAACCAGCCAAGUAGCGUGAAGGAUGACUGCCCUAUGGGUUGUAAACUUCUUUUAUAUGGGAAUAAAAUGUUCCACGUGUGGGAUUUUGUAUGUACCAUAUGAAUAAGGAUCGGCUAACUCCGUGCCAGCAGCCGCGGUAAUACGGAGGAUCCGAGCGUUAUCCGGAUUUAUUGGGUUUAAAGGGUGCGUAGGCGGAUUUUUAAGUCAGCGGUAAAAUGUCCGGGCUCAACCCGGGCCGGCCGUUGAAACUGGGGAUCUUGAGUGGGCGAGAAGUAUGCGGAAUGCGUGGUGUAGCGGUGAAAUGCAUAGAUAUCACGCAGAACUCCGAUUGCGAAGGCAGCAUACCGGCGCCCGACUGACGCUGAGGCACGAAAGCGUGGGGAUCGAACAGGAUUAGAUACCCUUGUAGUC